UCAAGCGAAUAAGCGCACACGGUGGAUGCCUUGGCGGUCAGAGGCGAUGAAGGACGUGGCAGCCUGCGAAAAGUAUCGGGGAGCUGGCAACAAGCUUUGAUCCGGUAAUGUCCGAAUGGGGAAACCCACCCGCUUGCGGGUAUCCUGCAGUGAAUACAUAGCUGCUGGAAGCGAACCUGGUGAACUGAAAUAUCUAAGUAACCAGAGGAAAAGAAAUCAACCGAGAUUCCGUAAGUAGCGACGAGCGAACGCGGACUAGCCCUUAAGCUGGAUUGGUUCUAGGAAAACGCUCUGGAAAGAGCGGCCAUAGAAGGUGAUAGCCCUGUAUCUGAAAGGGCCAUUCCAGUGAAGACGAGUAGGGCGGGGCACGUGAAACCCUGUCUGAACAUGGGGGGACCAUCCUCCAAGGCUAAAUACUACUGACCGACCGAUAGUGAACCAGUACCGUGAGGGAAAGGCGAAAAGAACCCCGGAGAGGGGAGUGAAAUAGAACCUGAAACCGUGUGCGUACAAGCAGUAGGAGCUCCGCAAGGAGUGACUGCGUACCUUUUGUAUAAUGGGUCAGCGACUUACUGUUCGUGGCAAGCUUAACCGUAUAGGGGAGGCGAAGGGAAACCGAGUCUGAUAAGGGCGCAUAGUCGCGGGCAGUAGACCCGAAACCGGGUGAUCUAGUCAUGCCCAGGGUGAAGGUGCGGUAACACGCACUGGAGGCCCGAACCCACUCCCGUUGCAAAGGUAGGGGAUGAGGUGUGAUUAGGAGUGAAAAGCUAAUCGAACCCGGAGAUAGCUGGUUCUCCUCGAAAGCUAUUUAGGUAGCGCCUCAUAUGUAUCCUCUCGGGGGUAGAGCACUGUUAUGGCUAGGGGGUCAUCGCGACUUACCAAACCAUUGCAAACUCCGAAUACCGAGACGGACUGUAUGGGAGACACACGGCGGGUGCUAACGUCCGUCGUGAAAAGGGAAACAACCCAGACCCACAGCUAAGGUCCCAAAUUCACUGCUAAGUGGAAAACCAUGUGGAAAGGCACAGACAGCCAGGAGGUUGGCUUAGAAGCAGCCACCCUUUAAAGAAAGCGUAAUAGCUCACUGGUCGAGUCGGUCUGCGGGGAAGAUUUAACGGGGCUAAGCAGUGAACCGAAGCUUGGGGUGCAUAACUUUGUUAUGCGCGGUAGAGGAGCGUUCCGUAAGCCGUUGAAGGUGGAUUGAGAAGUCUGCUGGAGGUAUCGGAAGUGCGAAUGCUGACAUGAGUAACGAUAAUGCGGGUGAAAAACCCGCACGCCGAAAGCCCAAGGUUUCCUUGCGCAACGUUAAUCGGCGCAGGGUGAGUCGGCCCCUAAGGCGAGGACGAAAGUCGUAGUCGAUGGGAAGCAGGUUAAUAUUCCUGCACCUCGCGUAAGUGCGAUGGAGGGACGGAGAAGGUUAGGUGUACCAGGCGUUGGUUGUCCUGGGGAAAGGCGGUAGGUUUGGAUCUUUGGCAAAUCCGGGAUCCUUUAAGACCGAGCACCGAGACGAGCCUUUAUGGCGAAGUCACUGAUACCACGCUUCCAGGAAAAGCUCCUAAGCUUCAGCUUACGCAGACCGUACCGUAAACCGACACAGGUGGGUAGGAUGAGAAUUCUCAGGCGCUUGAGAGAACUCGGGUGAAGGAACUAGGCAACAUGGCACCGUAACUUCGGGAGAAGGUGCACCCUUUUUGGUGGCUCGUGCGAGCUAUAGCUGAAGAGGGUCGCAGUAACCAGGCCGCUGCGACUGUUUAUCAAAAACACAGCACUCUGCAAACACGAAAGUGGACGUAUAGGGUGUGACGCCUGCCCGGUGCUGGAAGGUUAAUUGAUGGGGUCAGCCGCAAGGCGAAGCUCUUGAUCGAAGCCCCAGUAAACGGCGGCCGUAACUAUAACGGUCCUAAGGUAGCGAAAUUCCUUGUCGGGUAAGUUCCGACCUGCACGAAUGGCGUAACGACAGCGGCGCUGUCUCCACCCGAGACUCAGUGAAAUUGAAAUCGCUGUGAAGAUGCAGCGUUCCCGUGGCAAGACGGAAAGACCCCGUGAACCUUUACUAUAGCUUUACACUGAACGUUGAGUUCGUCUGUGUAGGAUAGGUGGGAGGCUAUGAAACUGUGGCGCUAGCUGCAGCAGAGCCAUCCUUGAAAUACCACCCUGUCGUGCUUGACGUUCUAACCUGGGCCCAUUAUCUGGGUCGGGGACCGUGUAUGGUGGGUAGUUUGACUGGGGCGGUCUCCUCCUAAAGAGUAACGGAGGAGCUCGAAGGUACGCUCAGCGCGGUCGGACAUCGCGCACUGUGUGCAAAGGCAUAAGCGUGCUUGACUGCAAGAUCGACGGAUCAAGCAGGUAGGAAACUAGGACUUAGUGAUCCGGUGGUUCUGUAUGGAAGGGCCAUCGCUCAACGGAUAAAAGGUACUCCGGGGAUAACAGGCUGAUACCGCCCAAGAGUUCAUAUCGACGGCGGUGUUUGGCACCUCGAUGUCGGCUCAUCACAUCCUGGGGCUGUAGUCGGUCCCAAGGGUAUGGCUGUUCGCCAUUUAAAGUGGUACGCGAGCUGGGUUCAGAACGUCGUGAGACAGUUCGGUCCCUAUCUGCCAUGGGCGUUGGAGAUUUGAGAGGGGCUGCUCCUAGUACGAGAGGACCGGAGUGGACGAACCUCUGGUGUUCCGGUUGUCACGCCAGUGGCAUUGCCGGGUAGCUAUGUUCGGAAGCGAUAACCGCUGAAAGCAUCUAAGCGGGAAGCGCGCCUCAAGAUGAGAUCUCCCGGGGCACAAGCCCCCUGAAGGAACCAUGUAGACUACGUGGUUGAUAGGUCAGGUGUGUAAGUACAGCAAUGUAUUGAGCUAACUGAUACUAAUGAUCCGUGCGGCUUGACCAU
rnacentral:rRNA from 1 species